GAUGAACGCUGGCGGCGUGCUUAACACAUGCAAGUCGAACGAGGAAUUUUAAAUGAGACUUCGGUGGAUUUUAAAAUUCUUAGUGGCGGACGGGUGAGUAACGCGUGGGCAACCUACCCUGUACAGGGGGACAACAGCUGGAAACGGCUGCUAAUACCGCAUAAGCGCACAGCAUCGCAUGAUGCCGUGUGAAAAACUCCGGUGGUACAGGAUGGGCCCGCGUUGGAUUAGGUAGUUGGUGAGGUAACGGCCCACCAAGCCGACGACCCAUAGCCGACCUGAGAGGGUGACCGGCCACAUUGGGACUGAGACACGGCCCAAACUCCUACGGGAGGCAGCAGUGGGGAAUAUUGCACAAUGGGGGAAACCCUGAUGCAGCGACGCCGCGUGAGCGAAGAAGUAUUUCGGUAUGUAAAGCUCUAUCAGCAGGGAAGAAAAUGACGGUACCUGACUAAGAAGCCC
rnacentral:rRNA from 1 species